rnacentral:lncRNA from 1 species
UUUCUUUACUUUGUACAUGAAAGUAAAAAUAAAUAUCUUUCAUUUUAUUAAUUGGAAAAUCUCAGGGAUAAUAAAGAAAAUAACAAAAUCGGAAACACGUAAAAGGAUGAACUCGCCUAAGACUAACAGAACAAGAUCAAGUACGUGCUAGAAAUUUUUUCCCUUUCCCAACGAGUGGAUACUUGCUCGUUAAGCACAUGGCUAAAAGUAAACGAUGAAGUUUGGAAGCACGGGCGAAGGAUGUAAGUUAUUGCUCCAACGAACUAAAGGUAAAUAUCUGAACCAGAAUUUUCUAGAAAAGUGUGAAAAACAAACAGAACAGGCCAUUAUUUUUCUAACUCCAUUGCAUUGGCUAGAUAUGGUGUUUCAUGUUAAAAUGAAAUACAUUCUAGUGCUGUUUCACCUGCUCCAUAAAAUAAAACGAAGGUAAAUAAAGCUACUUCUCUUGCUUUCACUUACAUCUACCACAGAUAACUAUUACUCACAAAGAGUUUACAAGUUAUUUUGCCAGGCUACGUGGCUGACUGCAUUUAAACGAUACAAGGAUGUACAUCAAGCUCGCUGGCUUUUUUCUUUGCUUAGGAGUUUUCCUCUGCAUUGCUGUGGCACUUCCACAGUAUGACAUGGGAGAUAAUACAAUGGGACAAGGAAUGGGAGGACUUCCACAGUUCAAUAUUGGAGGUCAAUUCAGCUUUGGAUUUGGAGGAUAGAUCUGCAAUAUCAUCUCACGUAUCCAAACGCUGAAGAUAAGCUGCAGCUGGGUAUGCAUCACUGAUAUGAGCUUCACGACUCCUUUAAAUUAGUUUGAAAAAUUUGCUCUAUCAGUUGAAGGAUUUCUCUGGUUUAUAAUUUCUAUGAUUAAAAAUAUUGGCUGCAAAGAUAUUUACUUGUUGUUUCACCUUAAUAUCCUUUAUCUCAUAAAUAUCAAAACGGGUCGGAGACAUUGAGUUAAUCUUGCUGCUGUGUAUCUUUGCCUUUUCCGUGAUUGAAGCAGCACCACAAUAUAUGCCGGUGGGUUACCCCAUGGCUAUGAAUCCCUAUGGAAUGGGAAUGGGCUACGCUCCUGUGGUUCCGGUUCCAUACUAAAUGGAAAGAAUGAAAAAUACCCUCUCUAUGAAGCAUGCUUGAUAUGGAAUUUGCUUAUGCUGGUUAAGGAUUUUCAUGGUUUUUAAUAUGUAUCAUUCUCAUUUGUUAUGCUUAAUAAAGCAUUAAUUUCAAAAGCA